UACGGAGGGGGCAAGCGUUGUUCGGAAUUACUGGGCGUAAAGGGCGCGCAGGCGGCUGCUCAAGUCAGGCGUGAAAGGCCUGGGCUCAACCCGGGAAUUGCGCUUGAGACUGGGCUGGCUUGAGUGCGGGAGAGGAUGGUGGAAUUCCCAGUGUAGAGGUGAAAUUCGUAGAUAUUGGGAAGAACACCGGUGGCGAAGGCGGCAUCCUGGACCGGCAUUGACGCUGAGGCGCGAAAGCUAGGGGAGCAAACGGG
rnacentral:rRNA from 1 species